rnacentral:rRNA from 1 species
UAAGGAAUAUUGGACAAUGGAGGCAACUCUGAUCCAGCCAUGCCGCGUGAAGGAAUAAGGCCCUAUGGGUUGUAAACUUCUUUUAGACGGGACAAAACCCCUUUACGUGUAAAGGGUUGAUGGUACUGUCAGAAUAAGCAUCGGCUAACUUCGUGCCAGCAGCCGCGGUAAUACGAAGGAUGCAAGCGUUAUCCGGAAUUAUUGGGUUUAAAGGGUGCGUAGGCGGACUAAUAAGUCAGUGGUGAAAGCCUGCAGCUUAACUGCAGAAUUGCCAUUGAUACUGUUAGUCUUGAGUACAGUUGAGGUAGGCGGAAUGUGUCAUGUAGCGGUGAAAUGCUUAGAUAUGAGACAGAACACCGAUUGCGAAGGCAGCUUGCUAAGCUGUAACUGACGCUGAGGCACGAAAGCGUGGGGAGCAAACA